GACGAACGCUGGCGGCGUGGAUUAGGCAUGCAAGUCGGACGGUAGGGCUUUAUCGUAAGAUAGAGUUUGAGAGUGGCGAACGGGUGAGUAACACGUAGGAAUCUACCCUUAAGACGGGGACAACCCAGGGAAACUUGGGCUAAUACCGGAUGAGAGUGCGAGAGAUUGCAUUUAAAAGGAUGGCGAAAGUUGUCGCUUAGGGAUGAGCCUGCGGUCUAUUAGUUAGUUGGUGAGGUAAGAGCUCACCAAGGCGAUGAUAGAUAGGCGGCCUUAACGGGUGGUCGCCCACACUGGGAUUGAGAUACGGCCCAGACUCCUACGGGAGGCAGCAGUCGAGAAUAGUCUACAAUGGUCGGAAGACUGAUAGUGCGACGCCGCGUGAGUGAAGAAGGCCUUCGGGUUGUAAAGCUCUUUUACCCGGGAAGAUAAUGACUGUACCGGGAGAAUAAGCCCCGGCUAACUCCGUGCCAGCAGCCGCGGUAAGAGUCACGUGUA
rnacentral:rRNA from 1 species